CAAACACUGGUUCUCGUACGACCACCAAAGUUAAGCAACGUUGCGCUUGAUCAAUACCUAGACGGGUGACCGCUUGUGAAUAUCAGGUGCUGUAG